UAGGGAAUCUUCCGCAAUGGACGAAAGUCUGACGGAGCAACGCCGCGUGAGUGAUGAAGGUUUUCGGAUCGUAAAGCUCUGUUGCCAGGGAAGAACGUCCGGUAGAGUAACUGCUAKCGGAGUGACGGUACCUGAGAAGAAAGCCCCGGCUAACUACGUGCCAGCAGCCGCGGUAAUACGUAGGGGGCAAGCGUUGUCCGGAAUUAUUGGGCGUAAAGCGCGCGCAGGCGGUCAUUUAAGUCUGGUGUUUAAACCUUGGGCUCAACCUGAGGUCGCACUGGAAACUGGGUGACUUGAGUACAGAAGAGGAAAGUGGAAUUCCACGUGUAGCGGUGAAAUGCGUARAUAUGUGGAGGAACACCAGUGGCGAAGGCGACUUUCUGGGCUGUAACUGACGCUGAGGCGCGAAAGCGUGGGGAGCAAACAGGAUUAGAUACCCUGGUAGUCCACGCCGUAAACGAUGAGUGCUAGGUGUUAGGGGUUUCGAUACCCUUGGUGCCGAAGUUAACACAGUAAGCACUCCGCCUGGGGAGUACGGUCGCAAGACUG
rnacentral:rRNA from 1 species